UUCCUCCUGGCAAAAAGCAGAAAGCAGAUGCAAAGAUGGGGGCUGGGGUAAAACUGUCCCUAGCAAAGACUGUGGAGGGAAGGUGGACCCAGAGCGCUGCCAAGAGCUCUCUCAAUGACCCCAGCUCUCACAAAGAACAGGGCUUAGGCCCUCAGAGGCCCUAGGACCAGGCUGGACCAGCACGGGCCUUCCAGGGCUGGAGCCAGAGGCAGCCAGCCUCUGCAGGAAGCAGGCCUACCAGCUUCUCACCCAGAACCAGGAAGUGCGUGGAAGGAGGAGAGAGGUCACACUCAGCUUGGGGAGAAAAAUGUCCCUUGACCUGGCGGCUUCCACACCAGCAACUGUUUCUGACUCCCUUUAGUUGUGACGCUCUUUCAACCAUGAAGAAAGCCCGAGGAUCUGUCCCUACGGUGCCCCCCACCCUCUCCAGGCAGCGAAUCAAUAUGUGAAAUGACAACCACCAAAAAGACCAAGCAGGACAGAAAUUGCUAUCAGCCAGGAAAAGAGGCUGACAAAUUGUGUUUAGCCCUCAACCACCAGACUAGUGGCUGUAGCCUGGCCCUUCCUCAUCUUCAGCUUCAGGAAGGGAGGGGGCAAGGGGGCACCUCCCCAGGCUGGAGAGAGGCAGAGCCAGUACUGCACCCUACCUAGGCCUCCUAGUCCUAAGGCUGCCUCCAGCACGGGUCCUUCCUUUGGUGCCCACCGAACAUUGCUGGCUCCGGAACAGGUAGGUUCUGGGGUUGAUUCCAAGCACAUUCAUCCCACCCCAGGGCUGGCCCCCGGGGCCUGUAGCUUGUAAGCUGCAGAGGGGGGAGGGCCGACGGAUUCAAAGGGUCAGAUGAAGAAGG
ensembl:processed_transcript